CGUCUCCACAGCCCCAGCGCCACAGGCUCUUCCCUAGCCCCGGGACCACCCUCCCUCCCCGGGCUGAGGGAAGUAUCCCCAACCCUUCUUCGUGCAGUGAACCACGGUCUGGCACUCAUACGUGGUACCCCUUGAAACAGUGAGGAAACAAUUUCUGGUCUUACUGGAGGACCUGGAAGUUCUAGAUUUUCUAGAUUAACUUCUGCCUCUAUACUCCUUCUACUAUGCAACCUUCAGAAUGAAGCUUCACAGUUGUGCUGAAAAAUCUGGCAGUUUAGUGUCAUUUACUUUCACAGAGGUACAAGACGUUCAAGGGAAGACUACUGGGCAUUAAAUGGACCACAUAUAUGAAGAUAUGAAUCCACUCCAAGGGAUGCUUUAGUAAAGAACCUAGGUGGAACAAUCAUCUGACUUAGGAAGGUGUGAAGGAUAACCAACUCCCAACACUUCAGUGAGCAAUCUGAAGUACACAUCUAUUGUACUUUAGACUUGGCCCUGUUCCAUUGUUGCCAAAGCAGAUUUUAAUGUUGCAACAAAUGGUGGAGGAUUGGAGUGGUCCAAAAUCCCAAAAAUUAAAUUCUGAAUAAUGACCAAAUUUGUGAA